CUUUCCCUUGAAACCGGUUUGUUUUCAGAAACCUAUUGAGAUUUGUAAUGUCAGCAUCCCAGAAGAUGGAAGCACAGUUCAGCAAGCAAAUCUCUCAUCCAUCUUUGAUUUAUUGGAAUCUUCCCAAUAACAAAAUAUCCCGUCCCUAUACUGCCGCAGCUUUGAUUCCCUUUUUGUGCAAAGCCACCUUAAAAGAAAAAACUUGAUUGGUAAUAAUUGAGGCUGUUCUUCCAUGCCAUUCUGCACAUCACACUACCUUAGUUCCUCAUUUACUUCCACCAAGGCAGACCCAAAAAUGAUGGCUAAAUUUGGAGUAGAAGUCCCAGGAUUGCAUGAGGGACAUAUCCAGCAAAUGGUUAUACGCAUUUUUUUC
rnacentral:misc_RNA from 1 species